rnacentral:rRNA from 6 species
UUAAGCGACUAAGCGUACACGGUGGAUGCCCUGGCAGUCAGAGGCGAUGAAGGACGUGCUAAUCUGCGAUAAGCGUCGGUGAGGUGAUAUGAACCGUUAUAACCGGCGAUUUCCGAAUGGGGAAACCCAGUGUGUUUCGACACACUAUCAUUAACUGAAUCCAUAGGUUAAUGAGGCGAACCGGGGGAACUGAAACAUCUAAGUACCCCGAGGAAAAGAAAUCAACCGAGAUUCCCCCAGUAGCGGCGAGCGAACGGGGAGGAGCCCAGAGCCUGAAUCAGUGUGUGUGUUAGUGGAAGCGUCUGGAAAGGCGCGCGAUACAGGGUGACAGCCCCGUACACAAAAAUACACAUAUUGUGAGCUCGAUGAGUAGGGCGGGACACGUGGUAUCCUGUCUGAAUAUGGGGGGACCAUCCUCCAAGGCUAAAUACUCCUGACUGACCGAUAGUGAACCAGUACCGUGAGGGAAAGGCGAAAAGAACCCCGGCGAGGGGAGUGAAAAAGAACCUGAAACCGUGUACGUACAAGCAGUGGGAGCCUCUUUAUGGGGUGACUGCGUACCUUUUGUAUAAUGGGUCAGCGACUUAUAUUCUGUAGCAAGGUUAACCGAAUAGGGGAGCCGAAGGGAAACCGAGUCUUAACUGGGCGUUAAGUUGCAGGGUAUAGACCCGAAACCCGGUGAUCUAGCCAUGGGCAGGUUGAAGGUUGGGUAACACUAACUGGAGGACCGAACCGACUAAUGUUGAAAAAUUAGCGGAUGACUUGUGGCUGGGGGUGAAAGGCCAAUCAAACCGGGAGAUAGCUGGUUCUCCCCGAAAGCUAUUUAGGUAGCGCCUCGUGAAUUCAUCUCCGGGGGUAGAGCACUGUUUCGGCAAGGGGGUCAUCCCGACUUACCAACCCGAUGCAAACUGCGAAUACCGGAGAAUGUUAUCACGGGAGACACACGGCGGGUGCUAACGUCCGUCGUGAAGAGGGAAACAACCCAGACCGCCAGCUAAGGUCCCAAAGUCAUGGUUAAGUGGGAAACGAUGUGGGAAGGCCCAGACAGCCAGGAUGUUGGCUUAGAAGCAGCCAUCAUUUAAAGAAAGCGUAAUAGCUCACUGGUCGAGUCGGCCUGCGCGGAAGAUGUAACGGGGCUAAACCAUGCACCGAAGCUGCGGCAGCGACACUAUGUGUUGUUGGGUAGGGGAGCGUUCUGUAAGCCUGUGAAGGUGGCCUGUGAGGGUUGCUGGAGGUAUCAGAAGUGCGAAUGCUGACAUAAGUAACGAUAAAGCGGGUGAAAAGCCCGCUCGCCGGAAGACCAAGGGUUCCUGUCCAACGUUAAUCGGGGCAGGGUGAGUCGACCCCUAAGGCGAGGCCGAAAGGCGUAGUCGAUGGGAAACAGGUUAAUAUUCCUGUACUUGGUGUUACUGCGAAGGGGGGACGGAGAAGGCUAUGUUGGCCGGGCGACGGUUGUCCCGGUUUAAGCGUGUAGGCUGGUUUUCCAGGCAAAUCCGGAAAACCAAGGCUGAGGCGUGAUGACGAGGCACUACGGUGCUGAAGCGACAAAUGCCCUGCUUCCAGGAAAAGCCUCUAAGCAUCAGGUAACAUCAAAUCGUACCCCAAACCGACACAGGUGGUCAGGUAGAGAAUACCAAGGCGCUUGAGAGAACUCGGGUGAAGGAACUAGGCAAAAUGGUGCCGUAACUUCGGGAGAAGGCACGCUGAUAUGUAGGUGAAGCGACUUGCUCGUGGAGCUGAAAUCAGUCGAAGAUACCAGCUGGCUGCAACUGUUUAUUAAAAACACAGCACUGUGCAAACACGAAAGUGGACGUAUACGGUGUGACGCCUGCCCGGUGCCGGAAGGUUAAUUGAUGGGGUUAGCGGUAACGCGAAGCUCUUGAUCGAAGCCCCGGUAAACGGCGGCCGUAACUAUAACGGUCCUAAGGUAGCGAAAUUCCUUGUCGGGUAAGUUCCGACCUGCACGAAUGGCGUAAUGAUGGCCAGGCUGUCUCCACCCGAGACUCAGUGAAAUUGAACUCGCUGUGAAGAUGCAGUGUACCCGCGGCAAGACGGAAAGACCCCGUGAACCUUUACUAUAGCUUGACACUGAACAUUGAGCCUUGAUGUGUAGGAUAGGUGGGAGGCUUUGAAGUGUGGACGCCAGUCUGCAUGGAGCCGACCUUGAAAUACCACCCUUUAAUGUUUGAUGUUCUAACGUUGGCCCGUAAUCCGGGUUGCGGACAGUGUCUGGUGGGUAGUUUGACUGGGGCGGUCUCCUCCUAAAGAGUAACGGAGGAGCACGAAGGUUGGCUAAUCCUGGUCGGACAUCAGGAGGUUAGUGCAAUGGCAUAAGCCAGCUUGACUGCGAGCGUGACGGCGCGAGCAGGUGCGAAAGCAGGUCAUAGUGAUCCGGUGGUUCUGAAUGGAAGGGCCAUCGCUCAACGGAUAAAAGGUACUCCGGGGAUAACAGGCUGAUACCGCCCAAGAGUUCAUAUCGACGGCGGUGUUUGGCACCUCGAUGUCGGCUCAUCACAUCCUGGGGCUGAAGUAGGUCCCAAGGGUAUGGCUGUUCGCCAUUUAAAGUGGUACGCGAGCUGGGUUUAGAACGUCGUGAGACAGUUCGGUCCCUAUCUGCCGUGGGCGCUGGAGAACUGAGGGGGGCUGCUCCUAGUACGAGAGGACCGGAGUGGACGCAUCACUGGUGUUCGGGUUGUCAUGCCAAUGGCACUGCCCGGUAGCUAAAUGCGGAAGAGAUAAGUGCUGAAAGCAUCUAAGCACGAAACUUGCCCCGAGAUGAGUUCUCCCUGACUCCUUGAGAGUCCUGAAGGAACGUUGAAGACGACGACGUUGAUAGGCCGGGUGUGUAAGCGCAGCGAUGCGUUGAGCUAACCGGUACUAAUGAACCGUGAGGCUUAACCUU